GUGGGGAAUAUUGGACAAUGGGCGAAAGCCUGAUCCAGCCAUGCCGCGUGAGUGAUGAAGGCCUUAGGGUUGUAAAGCUCUUUCAGUAGGGAAGAUAAUGACGGUACCUACAGAAGAAGCCCCGGCUAACUUCGUGCCAGCAGCCGCGGUAAUACGAAGGGGGCUAGCGUUGUUCGGAUUUACUGGGCGUAAAGCGCACGUAGGCGGAUUGGUCAGUUAGAGGUGAAAUCCUGGAGCUCAACUCCAGAACUGCCUUUAAUACUGCCAGUCUAGAGUCCAGAAGAGGUGAGUGGAACUCCUAGUGUAGAGGUGGAAUUCGUAGAUAUUAGGAAGAACACCAGUGGCGAAGGCGGCUCACUGGCCUAAUACUGACACUGAGGUGCGAAAGCAUGGGGAGCAAACAGGAUUAGAAACCCGUGUAGUCC
rnacentral:rRNA from 1 species